rnacentral:ncRNA from 2 species
UUUACAUAGCUGCCGGCGGGCCCGAUGGCGGGCCGGCCGGGGCGGUUCGGUGACAUGGAAUCCCGUGAGAUUCGGGAACAGUCGCGCUGCUGUAUCUGGAAACGACCAUCCCUGCGCAAGCAGCCAAUCCGGGCGACCGGGUGAAGGCGGAUGGAAGGCAGGCGGGACGCAUUAAUGCCAAUUGGCGUGAUGUAUCCUGCCAAAAUCCAGGAGUCAGAAUACUUGUCCGGACCGCGCUCCUCCG